rnacentral:lncRNA from 1 species
GAUAUCAAGCCCAACCAGCACCUCCAAGCUCCAACCAAUACCUUGAGAAGAUGAUGGAGACAUUGGCAAGUUCUAUGCAAAGCAUCCAACAGCAGAUAGAACAAAUGACCACCUCAUUAAAUGCAAACAUGUUAAGGAGAGAGGAAGAGUUUCAAGAUGAUAAGACAAAUGAUGAAAGUUCACAAGUACAACAACAAGCUGCUGAAGAGAAACAACCAGAAAAUUGUUUGCCUAAACAAACUGAUCAAACAGAAUCUGUUGAUAAUUUAGAUAUCAUUGAUUGUUUGAGUGAAAAUGUUUUUUUUUGUAAAUCAAGAUGAUAUACUAAAUGAUGAUCUUUGCAGGAAUGAGAGCCAGAAAGAGUCGAAACUUAAGGAAAUAGUUUGCAGCAUCCACCAAAUGAACUGCAAACCACUAUAGGAAGUACAGAAACCAGUUGCACCACUUCAGAAUGGAGUACAUACCACCCCUACACAAGAAGAGGCAUCUGAAAGCCUCUCAGGCGCGCCCAUUCAGCUUCCCAUGCAAAUUAGCUCUCCUCCGCCUCCCUUUCAGCCAAGUCCUGCGCAAAAGGAAGCUUCUGAAUCCAGUUCUGCGCCAUCUCCUUUGCAGUCAAGUCUUGCACAGAAGGAGACUUCUGAAACCACCUCUGCGCAGACACCUUUGCAACAUCUCUCAGAAUCUGAAGAAUAUAAGAAUGACCACCUUGAACAAAUCUUCCUUGCU